AAGUUCCAUAGAAAUUAAGAAUGUGAUGUUCUUUACACUGACUAUAUAGAAAGAGGAGGUAUAGUAAAUGCACCCCAUAUACACCUCAGCCCAGGCUCUUUGCCUGGUCUGUAUUGUGAAUGGGGCAGCAUAA